GUGCUCACUUCAACAUCACAUAUACUAAAAUUGGAACAAUACAGAGAAGAUUAGCAAGGCCCCUGUGCAAGAAUGACACGCAAUUUGGAGGAGUGCAAAAGAUGGGA